rnacentral:rRNA from 1 species
GACGAACGCUGGCGGCGUGCUUAACACAUGCAAGUCGAACGGAAAGGCCCUGCUUUUGUGGGGUUCUCGAUUGGCGAACGGGUGAGUAACACGUGUGUAACCUGCCCUUUACUUUGUGAUAACUUCAGGAAACUUGUGCUAAUACCGUAUAGGAUCUCCUGCUGCAUGGUGUUGGUUGGAUAGUUUCGGCGGUUGGGGAUGGACUCGCGGCUUAUCAUCUUUUUGGUGGGGUAGUUGCUUACCAAGGCUUUGACGGGUAGCCGGCCUGAGAGGGUGACAGGCGACAAUGGGAAUGAGAUACGGACCAGAAGGAAACGGGAGGCAGCAGUGGGGAAUAGUGCAAAAUGGGAGGAAGCGUGAUGAAGAAAAGCCGCGUGCGGGAAGAAGGCCUUCGGGUUGUAAAAAGAUGUAGAAUGUGACGAAGAGUGAGUGACGGUAAUGGGUAAAGAAGCACCGGCUAACUACGUG